rnacentral:rRNA from 1 species
GCUUUGGCUAGAGUCUCUUUCGUGCCCGACCUCCAACCCUUUGUCUACCUGACCAGAUGUUGCUUCGGCAGGCCCGCCGCCCCGCGAGGGGCAGCCGCCGGGGGUCCUUACCGGCCCCGGGUCCGUGCCUGUCGAUGGCCCUUCUAAAACUCUUGCUUAAACGUGUCGUCUGAGUAAAACAAACAAAAUAAAAACAAAACUUUCAACAACGGAUCUCUUGGUUCUGGCAUCGAUGAAGAACGCAGCGAAAUGCGAUAAGUAAUGCGAAUUGCAGAAUCCGUGAGUCAUCGAAUCUUUGAACGCACAUUGCGCCCUCUGGUAUUCCGGGGGGCAUGCCUGUUCGAGCGUCAUUAUCACCCCUCAAGCCCGGCUUGUUGUUGGACGUCGGCGGCGGCCUUUAGUGGCGUACCGCCCGUCUCAAAGAUAAUGACGGCGUCUGUGAGGACACCUGUACACUGAGCUUUCGGGCACGUACUAGGCUGAUACUUGCAGACCCGGUCUUCGGGUUCGCUUCGGCGUCCCCAACUUUUUUACCAAGGUUGACCUCGGAUCAGGUAGGAAUACCCGCUGAACUUAAGCAUAUCA